CCUACGGGAGGCUGUAGUGAGGAAUAUUGGUCAAUGGACGAGAGUCUGAACCAGCCAAGUAGCGUGAAGGAUGACUGCCCUAUGGGUUGUAAACUUCUUUUAUAUGGGAAUAAAAUGUUCCACGUGUGGGAUUUUGUAUGUACCAUAUGAAUAAGGAUCGGCUAACUCCGUGCCAGCAGCCGCGGUAAUACGGAGGAUCCGAGCGUUAUCCGGAUUGAUUGGGUUUAAAGGGAGCGUAGGUGGAUUGUUAAGUCAGUUGUGAAAGUUUGCGGCGCAACCGUAAAAUUGCAGUUGAAACUGGCAGUCUUGAGUACAGUAGAGGUGGGCGGAAUUCGUGGUGUAGCGGUGAAAUGCUUAGAUAUCACGAAGAACUCCGAUUGCGAAGGCAGCUCACUGGACUGCAACUGACACUGAGGCUCGAAAGUGUGGGUAUCAAACAGGAUUAGAUACCCUGGUAGUC
rnacentral:rRNA from 1 species